rnacentral:rRNA from 1 species
ACUCAAAUGAAUUGACGGGGACCCGCACAAGCAGUGGAGUAUGUGGUUUAAUUCGAAGCAACGCGAAGAACCUUACCAGGUCUUGACAUCCCCCUGAAUCUGCUAGAGAUAGCAGCGGCCUUCGGGACAGGGGAGACAGGUGGUGCAUGGUUGUCGUCAGCUCGUGUCGUGAGAUGUUGGGUUAAGUCCCGCAACGAGCGCAACCCUUGAAUUUAGUUGCCAGCACUUCGGGUGGGCACUCUAAAUUGACUGCCGGUGACAAACCGGAGGAAGGCGGGGAUGACGUCAAAUCAUCAUGCCCCUUAUGACCUGGGCUACACACGUACUACAAUGGCCGGUACAACGGGCCGCGAAGCCGCGAGGCGGAGCCAAUCCUAAAAAGCCGGUCUCAGUUCGGAUUGCAGGCUGCAACUCGCCUGCAUGAAGUCGGAAUUGCUAGUAAUCGCGGAUCAGCAUGCCGCGGUGAAUACGUUCCCGGGUCUUGUACACACCGCCCGU